rnacentral:lncRNA from 12 species
GGGAAUCCAGCUCAGUCAAGCCACCUUCUGUGCUGGGAAAGACCCCUGCCUUCCCUGCUGACUGAUCCGUUUGUAAGAGCUGGGAACGUAAUGAGGUGAUUGAUGCAGGAGUUUGGAGAGAUCUUUCUGGAGAUGGACAUGGAUGAAGAGACAUCAAACCACAGCUGCAUGCAUUUGAU